GCCGUUCUAACAUUGGCCAACGAUUAUAUCAUUCCUCCUAUUUCCAGUCUCCAAGAUGUGAGUGUCUUUCCUUUUUUAGCCCAAGCAGCAUUACUCAUGCACAAGAGGGAGCAACCAGCAGAUUCCGGGGAACCCUAAGUUUCGCAGAAAUUCAAUUCUAAAAAAACCUGCAGUGACAUUUUUUUUAAAAGGAAGGGGAGUUCUCCCCCACCCCAACAGCUCAAUGAUGAGUGCUAAACAUGAGCUACAAUCCAUUAGUUUUCCCAGACUCAGUUUACCCAACAGGCACAGAACAUUGACUGAUGGUUGUCUCACAGCAGAAACAAGUGGAACUGGAUUCGUGAAGGCAAAGGUGUUUGGAAGACAGAGUGACGCUGACUUACAAUUGCAUUAUAUAGGUUUACCCUAGAGCACACAUCUUUGUAUGUGUGACUACGCUGGAGACGCACGCUGCAAAAUUCAGGACUUUGACGGAGGCAGCAGCAGCAGUAGCAGUAGCA